GAUGAAGAACGCAGCGAAAUGCGAUAAGUAAUGUGAAUUGCAGAAUUCAGUGAAUCAUCGAAUCUUUGAACGCACAUUGCGCCCGCCAGUAUUCUGGCGGGCAUGCCUGUUCGAGCGUCAUUUCAACCCUCAGGCCCCACCUGGCGUUGGGGAUCGGCGCGGCCCUCUCCGGGCUGCCGGCCCCGAAAACUAGUGGCGGUCUCGCUGUAGUCCUCCUCUGCGCAGUAGCAACGCUCGCACUGGAACUCGGCGCGGCCACGCCGUAAAACACCCCACUUCUGAAAGUUGACCUCGGAUCAGGUAGGAAUACCCGCUGAACUUAAGCAUAUCAAUAAGCGGAGGA
rnacentral:misc_RNA from 1 species